GUGGGUGUAGUGUAUGGUACACAGCUGUCACCAUUGCAAAAUGUUUGAAGAAAAAUGCUUGCAGACAGCAGAACCAGGUUCGAUUCCUGGCAUCCGCA